rfam:Rhizobiales bacterium TMED25 107478, whole genome shotgun sequence.
AAUCAAGUGCCAGAAGAGCAUUUGGUGGAUGCCUAGGCGCACACAGGCGAUGAAGGACGUGCUACGCUGCGAAAAGCUGCGGGGAGCUGCGAAUAAGCUUUGAUCCGUAGAUAUCCGAAUGGGGAAACCCACCAUAUAACAUAGAAAUGUUAGGAUAUUCUAUAUCUUAACAUUUCUAUGUUGUAAGGUAUUUAACUCUGAAUACAUAGGGGUUAAAAGCGAACCCAGGGAACUGAAACAUCUAAGUACCUGGAGGAAAGGAAAUCAACCGAGACUCCGCUAGUAGUGGCGAGCGAACGCGGAUCAGGCCAGUAAUAUAUAGUAAAAAACCAGAAUCAGCUGGAAAGCUGAGCCAUAGUAGGUGAUAGCCCCGUAUGGGUAAAAAAACUAUAUAUUCUCGAGUAGGGCGGGACACGUGAAAUCCUGUUCGAACGUGGGGGGACCACCCUCCAAGCCUAAGUACUCGUGUGCGACCGAUAGUGAACAAGUACCGUGAGGGAAAGGUGAAAAGUACCCCGACAAGGGGAGUGAAAUAGUAUCUGAAACCGAAUGCUUACAAACAGUCGGAGCUCAAGGUUUGUCCUGAGUGACGGCGUACCUUUUGUAUAAUGGGUCAACGACUUAAUUUAGCGAGCAAGCUUAAGCCGAUAGGUGUAGGCGUAGCGAAAGCGAGUCUUAAUAGGGCGUCAAGUUCGUUGGAUUAGACCCGAAACCGAGUGAUCUAGGUAUGGGCAGGCUGAAGGUGCGGUAACACGCACUGGAGGGCCGAACCCACGCAUGUUGAAAAAUGCGGGGAUGACCUGUGCCUAGGGGUGAAAGGCCAAUCAAACUCGGAAAUAGCUGGUUCUCCGCGAAAUCUAUUUAGGUAGAGCGUUGCGUGAUUACCGCCGGGGGUAGAGCACUGGAUGGGCUAGGGGGACCCAAAGUCUUACCAAACCUAACCAAACUCCGAAUACCGGUGAGUACAGCAUGGCAGACACACAUAGGGUGCUAAGGUCCUAUGUGGAAAGGGAAACAGCCCAGACCGCCAGCUAAGGUCCCUAAGUUAUGGCUAAGUGGGAAAGGAAGUGAGAAGGCCAAGACAACCAGGAGGUUGGCUUAGAAGCAGCCAUCCUUUAAAGAAAGCGUAACAGCUCACUGGUCUAAAUAAGCCGUCUCGCGCCG